ensembl:lncRNA
CUCCCCAAGGACACACAUUUCCACCACGCCCCCUGAGGGCAGCCCCACCCCACCCUGGCAGGCAACCAAGGAUCUGUUUUCUGUCACUAGGGAUUAGUUUUGUCUGAUCUAGAAUUUCAUACAAAUGGAGUUGUGCAGUGUGUACUCCUCUGAGCCUGGCUUCUUUCACUUAGCGUCACGUUGUUGAGAGUGGUCCAGGUUGCUGUGUGUAUCUGUAGUUCUUUUCUUAUUGCUAAGCCCAUUGUACGGAUGUGCCACAAUUUGUUAAACGGUCCAUCUGUUCACGGGCAUUUGGGUUGUUUCUGUUGUCAGCCAUUAUGAAUAAAACUGAUAUGAACACUGCAGGACAAUCUUCUCUGUGGACAUAAGCAUUUGUUUCUUUGGGUAAAUAUUGGGAGUGGAACUGUUGGAUCACGUGUAAAGAUAUGUUUAACUUUUUAAGAACUGCCAACUUCUUUUCUGAAGUGUCCGCACCAUAGGCCUUCAGCAGCAGCAGCUGCACACUCCCUAACACUGGGUGCAACUCGACCGUCCUCUUCUUGUGGAGCACGCGUCCCCAGGUCCUGGCCCAGUGCUGCCUACCAUGGGCGCCCAAUUCAUCAUUACACAAUGCACGAGGGAAGGCGCCCAGCUUUUGUUAUUUUGUUAUCCUUUCCAAGUCAAUAUUUAUUCCAUUUCCACUUCUCUGGAUGUUUUUUUUGUUUGUUUGUUUGUUUGUUCUUUAAGAUUUUAUUUUUUCCUUUUUCUCCCCAAAGCCCCCCGGUACAUAGUUGUAUAUUCUUCGUUGUGGGUCCUUCUAGUUGUGGCAUGUGGGACGCUGCCUCAGCGUGGUUUGAUGAGCAGUGCCAUGUCCGCGCCCAGGAUUCAAACCAAGGAAACACUGGGCCGCCUGCAGCGGAGCGUGCGAACUUAACCACUCGGCCGCAGGGCCAGCCCCUUCUCUGGGUGUUUUUAAUCUUUUGUUACUUUUAAUAAUUACAGAAAUAAUACAUGGCCAGGGUAUAGAAAUUAGAACAUUAAUGAAAAUUUAAUUUUAAAGUUACCCCUUCAUCUCUCCCUCCAGAGGCCUCCGUUCCAGGCUCCACACUGGGCACUAGAAAACAAAGAUGAAGGAAGCACAUUCCUUGUCUCCAAGGGCUCUGCAGGCCGCUGGGCUCCAGCUGCAGAGACAAAGCCCACACAGCAAGCCCUGCCGUCUCCCUGUCUCCCAAGCUUGGGUGUCUGUGGCGUAGCUGACCUUUCUUUCCACGUGGCUGUCUCCCCACCAUCUCGGACGUCCUGUGCCCUCAGAGGAACUUUUAUUUUUUUUGAGGAAGAUUAGCUCUGAGCUAACAUCUGCUCUCAAUCCUCCUCUUUUUGCUGAGGAAGACUGGCCCUGAGGUAACAUCCGUGCUCAUCUCCCUCUACUUUAUAUGUGGGAAGCCUACCACAGCAUGGCUUGCCAAGUGGUGCCAUGUCUGCACCUGGGAUCUGAACGGGUGAACCCUGGGGUGCCAAAGCAGAACCACUGUGCCACCAGGCCAGCCCCUCAAAGGAACUCUUUACACCCCUGCUUCUCAAACCCGUUCCUUCUCCAUUCUCCCUAUUCCAGAAACGGGCGCUACCAUUUGCUGCAACCCACAAGCGAGGAGUCACUCUUGAUUCCUUUUUUCUUCCUCACCCACAUCCACUCCAUCACUACCUCCUAUUGACUUCACCGUCCAAACCCUUCCCGCAUCCCUCCGCGUUUCUCUAGGUCCAGUGCUCCCUCGCCAUUCAGAAGUACCCUCAGUUUUGUCUGAGCUGCCUCCUAACCGGUCUCCAGCUUCUAUGCUUAUCACGCCUCCAAUGUAAAAUCACAUCAGCUAACAACGUUUUUUUGCAGAAACAGAAAAUUCCAUCUUAAAAUUCAUAUGGACUCUCAAGGGACUUUGAAUAGCCAAAACAAUCUUAAAAAAGAAGAACAAGGGGCUGGCCCCGUGGCGAAGUGGUUAAGUUCACAUGCGCCGCUUCAGCGGCCCAGGGUUUUGCAGGUUCGGAUCCUG